rnacentral:rRNA from 1 species
CCUACGGGAGGCAGCAGUAGGGAAUAUUGCUCAAUGGGCGAAACCCUGAAGCAGCAACGCCGCGUGGAGGAUUAAGGUUUUAGGAUUGUAAACUCCUUUUGGUAGAGAAGAUUAUGACGGUAUCUAACGAAUAAGCACCGGCUAACUCCGUGCCAGCAGCCGCGGUAAUACGGAGGGUGCAAGCGUUACUCGGAAUCACUGGGCGUAAAGAGUGCGUAGGCGGGGUAAUAAGUCAGAUGUGAAAUCCUGUAGAUUAACUACAGAACUGCAUUUGAAACUGUUAUUCUAGAGUAUGGGAGAGGUAGGUGGAAUUCUUGGUGUAGGGGUAAAAUCCGUAGAGAUCAAGCGGAAUACUCAUUGCGAAGGCGACCUGCUAGAACAUAACUGACGCUGAUGCGCGAAAGCGUGGGGAGCAAACAGGAUUAGAUACCCGGGUAGUC